rnacentral:rRNA from 1 species
AUUGAACGCUGGCGGCAGGCCUAACACAUGCAAGUCGAACGAGUGGCGGACGGGCGAGUAAUGUCUGGGAAUCUGCCUGAUGGAGGGGGAUAACUACUGGAAACGGUAGCUAAUACCGCAUACCCUCGGAUGUGCCCAGAUGGGAUUAGCUAGUUGGUGGGGUAAAGGCUCACCUAGGCGACGAGCCCUAUCUGGUCUGAGAGGAUGACCAGCCAAACGGGAACUGAGAAACGGUCCAGACUCCUACGGGAGGAAGCAGUGGGGAAUAUUGCACAAGGGGCGCAAGCCUGAUGCAGCAAUGCCGCGUGUAUGAAGAAGGCCUUCGGGUUGUAAAGUACUUUCAGCGGGGAGGCGUUACCCGCAGAAGAAGCACCGGCUAACUACGUGCCAGCAGCCGCGGUAAUUC